CACAUAGCGGGAGCCGGAAGAUAGUCCCCCUGUAGCAAAAAUUACGGGGGGUAGGACUCUCGCCCCGAGCAAUCGGGUCACCCUGCUUUUUGGGCACCAUUCGUUUCCUCGGCGGGCUUGCCCGCCAACGGGGACCCCUUAAAACCUCUGUAAUGAGCAGUAACUGUCAGUAAAUAAAAAAUUAUCA
rnacentral:misc_RNA from 1 species